rnacentral:rRNA from 1 species
UACGUAGGGCGCAAGCGUUGUCCGGAAUUAUUGGGCGUAAAGAGCUCGUAGGCGGUUUGUCGCGUCUGCUGUGAAAACUCGGGGCUUAACUCCGGGCCUGCAGUGGGUACGGGCAGACUAGAGUGCGGUAGGGGAGACUGGAAUUCCUGGUGUAGCGGUGAAAUGCGCAGAUAUCAGGAGGAACACCGGUGGCGAAGGCGGGUCUCUGGGCCGUAACUGACGCUGAGGAGCGAAAGCAUGGGGAGCGAACAGG